rnacentral:rRNA from 1 species
GAUGAACGCUAGCUACAGGCUUAACACAUGCAAGUCGAGGGGCAGCAUGAAGUCAGCUUGCUGACUUUGAUGGCGACCGGCGCACGGGUGAGUAACGCGUAUCCAACCUUCCCCUUACUCAGGAAUAGCCCGUUGAAAGACGGAUUAAUGCCUGAUGUUCUCAUGUUGCCGCAUGGCGAUAUGAGCAAAGAUUCAUCGGUAAGGGAUGGGGAUGCGUAUGAUUAGCUUGUUGGCGGGGUAACGGCCCACCAAGGCGACGAUCAUUAGGGGUUCUGAGAGGAAGGUCCCCCACACUGGAACUGAGACACGGUCCAGACUCUACGGGAGGCAGCAGUGAGGAANAUUGGUCAAUGGAGGCAACUCUGAACCAGCCAA